rnacentral:rRNA from 1 species
GACGAACGCUGGCGGCGUGCUUAACACAUGCAAGUCGAACGGAAAGGCCCUGCUUUUGUGGGGUGCUCGAGUGGCGAACGGGUGAGUAACACGUGAGUAACCUGCCCUUGACUUUGGGAUAACUUCAGGAAACUGGGGCUAAUACCGGAUAGGAGCUCCUGCUGCAUGGUGGGGGUUGGAAAGUUUCGGCGGUUGGGGAUGGACUCGCGGCUUAUCAGCUUGUUGGUGGGGUAGUGGCUUACCAAGGCUUUGACGGGUAGCCGGCCUGAGAGGGUGACCGGCCACAUUGGGACUGAGAUGCGGCCCAGACUCCUACGGGACGCAGCAGUGGGGAAUAUUGCACAAUGGGCUGAAGCCUGAUGCAGCAACGCCGCGUGCGGGAUGACGGCCUUCGGGUUGUAAACCGCUUUCGCCUGUGACGAAGCGUGAGUGACGGUAAUGGGUAAAGAAGCACCGGCUAACUACGUG